UACAGAGGGUGCAAGCGUUAAUCGGAAUUACUGGGCGUAAAGCGUGCGCAGGCGGUUUUGCAAGCCGGAUGUGAAAUCCCCGGGCUUAACCUGGGAAUGGCAUUCGGGACUGCAAGGCUGGAGUGCGGCAGAGGAGACUGGAAUUCCUGGUGUAGCAGUGAAAUGCGUAGAUAUCAGGAGGAAUACCGAUGGCGAAGGCAGGUCUCUGGGCUGACACUGACGCUCAUGCACGAAAGCGUGGGGAGCAAACAGG
rnacentral:rRNA from 1 species